AUGACGGACAACGAGUUGGCUUUGGAGUGCAUCCACUUGUUUGUGGAGAUACUGGAUCACUUCUUUGGUAAUGUCUGCAAGUUAUAUUUGGUCUGCAAGUUAGAUUUGGUUUUUAACUAUCACAAGGUAUAUCUAAUCUUAGAUGAAUUCGUUCUCACUGGGGAGCUAUAAGAAACAAGUUAGAAGGCUAUCAUGGAGAAGUUGGAGUGAAGAUUGAUGAUCCAGGAUGGCCAACCUUCAUCCAUAUUCCAAACAAUUGAUGAGAUUGUUCCGACACUUCUGCAUGCUCUGGAGGACGAUCAAACCCUGAUACUGCUCUGGAUGGUUUAAAACAGAUUUUAAGUGUCAGGACCAGUGCUGUGGUGCCUCAUAUCCUUCCCCAAGCUUGUUCACCUUCCCCUUUCGUCUAUAUAGAGAGAACUCAGAGAAAACCUGAAAUUGAUGGGACAAAAACAUAGAAGAUAGUGACAUCGAGUCUGCACCUAAGCUCAUCGAAGUUCCAUUCCUGAACUGCAAAGGACAGGUCGAUCACUGGGUUGAGCCAUAUCUCAGAAUCUCAAUUGAAUGUCUGCAUUGAAGUAAAACACCAUACUUGAAGUGCCUCCUGAUCCAAGUGGAUGGUAUGGCUGGAUCAGUGCAGAGGAAGCCUAAGCUUACACUGACAAGGCCUAAGGAUCCUGAACUUGAAACAUUUCAACGUUUCUGUCCAAUAAAGCUUAUGAGCUCAGCUCAUAAUCUACUACUCUAACUCUAUUUUUCUUUUCCUUUUCGUUCUAAUAUUUAUCAAUUUCUUUCCUUUUAUUCUA